rnacentral:rRNA from 1 species
GACGAACGCUGGCGGCGUGCCUAAUACAUGCAAGUAGAACGCUGAAGGAGGAGCUUGCUUCUCUGGAUGAGUUGCGAACGGGUGAGUAACGCGUAGGUAACCUGCCCGGUAGCGGGGGAUAACUAUUGGAAACGAUAGCUAAUACCGCAUAAGAGUAGAUGUUGCAUGACAUUCGCUUAAAAGGUGCAAUUGCAUCACUACCAGAAGGACCUGCGUUGUAUUAGCUAGUUGGUGGGGUAACGGCUUACCAAGGCGACGAUACAGAGUCGACCUGAGAGGGGGGUCUGCCACACUGGGACUGAGACACGGCCCAGACUCCUACGGGGGGCAGCAGUAGGGGAUCUUCGGCAAUAGGCGGAAGUCUGACCGAGCAACGCCGCGUGAGUGAAGAAAGUUCUCGGGUCGUAAAGCUCUGUUGUAAGGGGAGAACGAGUGUGAGAGUGGAAAGUUCACACUGUGACGGUAUCUUACCAGAAAGGGACGGCUAACUACGUG